rfam:Capnocytophaga sp. oral taxon 338 str. F0234 genomic scaffold SCAFFOLD1, whole genome shotgun sequence.
UUAACCGAGGACAGAUUUGACUGAUUGCCACCUCAUCGUAAAAACGAUAAAUGAUGCUAAACCAGUAAUC